UCGGUAGUAAUCUUUUAGCUUCUCUCUUUUCUUGAUAUGUUCAUGUUUAUUUAUAUAAUAUUAUAACAAUUUUGCUUUUGAAAACUCAUUUGUUUUUUUUUUAAAUAAAUUUUAGGUAGGGGUGGUGGUGGCGGCUUUGAGCGAAAAAUACCACCUCCAGGCUAUGGCAUUUUAUCCACAAAUGGUAAUCCUAAUUUUGAUAUAAAGAGAGUGAAACCUCCAACAGGGCUGCUUUUGAGAAGGAGAUUGAAGGGAUGCCUUCUACAAGAAUUGUUGGUCAUCUUCCUCUACAACUUCAUUGCCCUUUGUGCAAAGAUGUGAUGAAAGAUGUUGUUCUCACCAGCAAGUGCUGUUUCACCAGUUCCUGUGAUAAAUAUAAUUUUCUUAAUUUUUUGUUGAUGUGGCAAAACGUAAGCUUCUAAAUUGGAUUUCUAUUAUAAAUACUUGAUCCUGUUUUUCUUGAUUAUACUAUCAAGUAUAAGAGAUCAAAUUAUCUCCAAAGCAGUGUGUGUUUGUGGUGCAACGAAUGUGCUUGCAGAUGAUCUCUUGCCUAACAAGGCAUUAAAGGAUACAAUAAACCUAUUCAGCACGCCAAAAUGAAGAUCAAAAAAUGGAAGCCUUGAAAGAAUAAUUUCCAAAUUUAAUCAAACUAUUGGGAGAUGGAUUUAAGAGCCUUUGACAGAUGGUGGAAAUAAAAAAAAAUUUAGGUCCACGAACAGAAAAGCUGUUUUGAUCAUUAAAACACCACUUCCAAGCUAUGUGUGUCACAGAUGCAAAAGCAAACCCCAGUGUUAUACAACAGAAAAAGAGUAGCAUUAUAGUUAUUGGGCUUAGUUUAUUAUGGUAGCUCUUUCUAACUAUUUUCUGAAAACCAAUGAGAUGAAGGAACUUUUUUUUGAUUGUAAAUGCUAGGUCAUCAUGUUAAUGUACUUUUGAUUCCCAUUUCAUUAUAAUGUAGAAGCUUAUGGUACUGAAAACUCAAACAAAACAAAAGCAAAGAUGAUCCUAGCAAUAAAUAUAGCCUGAUUUCACUCUAUAUUGAAGUCAAAUUGUGAGAAUAAAGCCAUCAAGACUUUUGGUAUUUUGAUUAUUUGUAUGUCCAGUGUGGGGUAAAGUUGUAAGAAAAUUUGUUUCAAUAAAAUAUUUGUCUUAAUAUCCCUUUGUAAAGACUUGAUGGCUUCCAACCCUCACAAAGCGCGGGAAUCU